rnacentral:lncRNA from 1 species
AUGUAUUGUUCAGUCCACAGAGUAACCCUACAGAAAAGGAUCUCCUCCCUUUACUUGAUCUUUUCCAGUAUCUCAACCUUCCUGCCUGGGAGUCAAACACCACAGUGCAUCAGCAGCUUCCUGACAUCAUUGUGUGAUGUAGCUGGCAGAGUAACUUUUUUCCUCCUAAUCUAUGAUAUUGCCAGUGGUGUCCAGACCUCUGGAAGAUGUUUUGGUCAGUUGGGUGGUCCUCCAAUGCCUGUACACAGCAGACAAAACAAGAACACAGCAGACAAGAAUACACGUGAUAAAUGCACUCACGGCUCUGGGUGUAGUUGAUAUUGCCGUAGAUGGGGUUGUCUUCCAUGUCCUUCAGCUUCAGACUGAAACUGGAACACCAGAAGCCAUCCCAAGGGGAAAAGAGCACAAAGAGACACAUUAUCUACUUUGAAAAUGAAUUCUGUAUCAUCACUAAAGUGUCAUCAAAGUUUGCCACAUUUUCCUUCACCCUCAGAAUCUCAAAAAUGUUUUAAUGUCAAUGUAUUUGCAUAGAUACUUUCUGUGUUGUGAUUGUAAUCACUGAAUUGGAUUCACUUGUAAUACAAAAUGUCAUUGAUUUAGGAGGUGCUUCUGUUUAGAGAUUAGGCAACAGAUGCUACUGCAGCAUCUCUGACACUGGCUCAAAGUGUCUCAGCCAGACUGGGAUGAUACAAGCAUGUGCUUGUUGACAAUAUGUUAGUCCAGGAAGUAAUUAGUAAGGUUUUAAAAUGGAAUGGCUAAGAAAAAAUAUUACAAGUAUAUAUACUGCAUUCAAGCAAAAGAUACCCACCUUCUCCGAAAACGAGGCAGAAACUUUUUUCCUCCAUCUGACAAAACAGAGGAAAGUGCUGUUGUAAACAUUAGCCUCAUUACUUUCACAAGUUCUUCAAGUGUAAAUGAUCUACACUCUGUGUUCAUUAGAAUGAUUUUGGCUGAAACAGUAAUUAAAUCAACUAAAUAUUUUGUCAAUGUGUUAAUGUGCAUAAAAUAGGAUACUGCAAGUGAUGUACUGUGUUAUAACAGAAGAGAACUUGACAGUCCAAGUUACCUUUAAUAAACUGUUAAUAAACCUUUUAUAAUAAGGACAGAAACAAGACUUCUAUUGUACACCACUGUGAGCAAUUUCAGGUUUUAUGAGAUUUGGUCUUACAUAAAAGC